UACGAAGGGGGCUAGCGUUGCUCGGAAUCACUGGGCGUAAAGCGCACGUAGGCGGAUUGUUAGGUCAGGGGUGAAAUCCUGGAGCUCAACUCCAGAACUGCCUUUGAUACUGGCGAUCUCGAGUCCGGGAGAGGUGAGUGGAACUGCGAGUGUAGAGGUGAAAUUCGUAGAUAUUCGCAAGAACACCAGUGGCGAAGGCGGCUCACUGGCCCGGUACUGACGCUGAGGUGCGAAAGCGUGGGGAGCAAACGGG
rnacentral:rRNA from 1 species